ACUGUGGAAUCAAGGAAAAGAUGUGCUGUAACUUCUAUUUUGUUCAUAGUGAAAUCCAGCCGGUGGGCUGUCAGUGCGGAAGAGUGGACGUAGGCUUGGAAUAAGCCGAACCACUAUAAAUCUUGUGUUCAUUUCUCUCUUCCAUAUCCUUUACUUUACCUUGAUCGUAUUUUCCUUUCUAUCGAUUGCCUAAAAUCACUUCCGUAUCUCGAAAAUUUGUUUGUGC
rnacentral:lncRNA from 1 species